AGGGAAUCUUCCGCAAUGGACGAAAGUCUGACGGAGCAACGCCGCGUGAGUGAUGAAGGUUUUCGGAUCGUAAAGCUCUGUUGUUAGGGAAGAACAAGUGCAAGAGUAACUGCUUGCACCUUGACGGUACCUAACCAGAAAGCCACGGCUAACUACGUGCCAGCAGCCGCGGUAAUACGUAGGUGGCGAGCGUUGUCCGGAAUUAUUGGGCGUAAAGCGCGCGCAGGCGGUUUCUUAAGUCUGAUGUGAAAGCCCCCGGCGCAACCGGGGAGGGUCAUUGGAAACUGGGGAACUUGAGUGCAGAAGAGGAGAGUGGAAUUCCACGUGUAGCGGUGAAAUGCGUAGAGAUGUGGAGGAACACCAGUGGCGAAGGCGACUCUCUGGUCUGUAACUGACGCUGAGGCGCGAAAGCGUGGGGAGCAAAC
rnacentral:rRNA from 1 species